UACGGAGGGGGCUAGCGUUGUUCGGAAUUACUGGGCGUAAAGCGCGCGUAGGCGGCUUUGUAAGUUAGAGGUGAAAGCCCGGAGCUCAACUCCGGAAUUGCCUUUAAGACUGCAUCGCUAGAAUCAUGGAGAGGUGAGUGGAAUUCCGAGUGUAGAGGUGAAAUGCGUAGAGAUCGGGAGGAAUACCCGUGGCGAAGGCGGCCGACUGGGCCGGAUCCGACGCUGAUGCGCGAAAGCGUGGGGAGCAAACAGG
rnacentral:rRNA from 1 species